ACAUGCCUACAACAUAGCCUGAAUGCACCAGAUCCCAUUAGAACUCCACAGUUAAGCGCGCUUGAGCUAGAGUAUUACUGGGAUGGCUGACCGCCAAGGAAUUCCUAGUGUUUUACAUGCC
rnacentral:rRNA from 1 species